UCUUUAGUUGAAGAGAACUGGAAAGUUCCGUCGUAGAAGGUAAUAACCCUGUAGGCGAAAAGGAAAGAAAAGUAGAUCUACUCCAGAGUACCACGAGACACGUGAAACCUUGUGGGAAGCUGGGAGGACCAUCUCCCAAGGCUAAAUACUACCUAGUGACCGAUAGUGAAGCAGUACCGUGAGGGAAAGGUGAAAAGAACCCCGGAAGGGGAGUGAAAUAGAAUCUGAACCCGUGUGCCUACAAUCGGUCGGAGCACAUUAAAGUGUGACGGCGUACUUUUUGUAGAACGGGCCAGCGAGUUACGAUAUAUAGCGAGGUUAAGCACUUAUGGUGUGGAGCCGAAGGGAAACCGAGUCUGAAUAGGGCAACUAGUUGUAUAUUGUAGACCCGAAACCGAGUGACCUAUCCAUGGCCAGGAUGAAGCGGAAGUAAAAUUCCGUGGAGGUCCGAACCACGUUGGUGUUGAAAAACCAUGGGAUGAGCUGUGGAUAGCGGAGAAAUUCCAAUCGAACUCGGAGAUAGCUGGUUCUCCUCGAAAUAGCUUUAGGGCUAGCGUCGGGUAAUUGAGUAGUGGAGGUAGAGCACUGAAUGGGCUAGGGGCUGACAACAGUUACUGAACCCUAUCAAACUCCGAAUGCCAUAUACUUGUACCCCGGCAGUCAGACUACGAAUGAUAAGAUCCGUGGUCAAAAGGG
rnacentral:rRNA from 1 species